CUGAGUCGUCUCCCAAUGCGAAGGAAACAAACGAUCUAGAAUCCGAGAGUGUAGUUAGAACAACAAAAAUGGCGUGGCAAAAGGAGAAGAUCGUCGGAAGCUGCUUCGCCGUCGGAGCCGCCUUCGCCGUCGGAGCUUCCUUCCUCCACCUCUUCCUCAAAGGCGAGCUCCCCUUAGGCUUAGGCCUAGGUCUACCCUUCGCUCCCUUCAGGAAACGAAAGCCAGUCCGCGUCUACAUGGACGGAUGCUUCGACAUGAUGCACUACGGCCACUGCAACGCGCUCCGGCAGGCGCGUGCUCUCGGCGACGAAUUGGUCGUCGGCGUCGUCAGCGACGAGGAGAUCAUAGCUAAUAAAGGACCUCCCGUUACGCCUCUUCACGAGAGGUGAUGAUGAUCUCUCUCUCUCUCUUUUGAUUCUUUGUUAUCGCUUUAUUGUGUUUGUUCUGAUUUUGUGUGUGUGUUAGGAUGAUAAUGGUGAAGGCUGUUAAGUGGGUGGAUGAGGUUAUUCCCGAUGCUCCUUACGCGAUCACGGAGGAGUUCAUGAAGAGGUUGUUUGAUGAGUAUCAGAUUGAUUACAUUAUCCAUGGGGAUGAUCCUUGCGUUCUUCCUGAUGGAACUGAUGCUUAUGCCUUGGCUAAGAAGGCUGGGAGGUAUAAGCAGAUCAAGCGUACUGAAGGAGUUUCCAGCACUGAUAUCGUUGGUAAAAACUUACAUCGUCCCUUGUUGUUUAGACGAAAGGUUUCGUUUUUUUUAAUGUGUUAAGGGGAGAUACGAGCUGCAUUUCAUGUUUAUGUUAUUAAGUGUUCUUGAUAGGUUUGACCAAUCACAUAAAGAUUAUAACUUUGUUCGAAUUUGUGCAGGUCGCAUGCUUCUCUGUGUAAGAGAGAGAUCGAACAGUCAGAGUCAUUCGUCUCUGCAGAGGCAGUUUAGCCAUGGCCAUAAUAGCCCAAGGUUUGAGGACGGAGCUUCUUCUGCUGGUGGUACUCGCGUCUCACAUUUUCUUCCUACUUCCCGCAGGAUCGUUCAGUUCUCCAAUGGCAAGGUGUGUGGAGUCUUAAAGAGUCUUCUUUUCUUUGUGUUUCUACCUGUUUAGCUUACUCAGGCAAAUAACUUAGAUCUUUGGAGUUUUGUAGAUCUAUAUUUUGCUUUAUGGUAUAGUGGGUUGAACAGGUGCAUGACUCUUGACUUCUAAUAGCUAUGCAAGUGGUUCUUGGCUCUCUUUUUCAGCUGUUUUAAUCAUUAAAGAGAAUGGAUAGCAUCUUUUUGAUAACAUUGUCUGGUUCUUGCUUUCUGAAACAUAAUUAGUUAAUCCUUUCUAUGACCAUUUAACCAAACAUUGGGUACUUCUUAUGUGUGUUAUCUAUAAUUUUCCUAUUGAGUGACACAAGGUUGCUUCACAUCUUAUUUUUAUCGCUUGUGUCAAUUUAUGUCCGCUAGAUUUUAAGAUAUUCCUCGAUUGAUUUAGUUUUCUCCAUAUCAUUUUGUAUAAUGGGUUAAUCAAACGUGCAUGCUUAUGGUGACAGGGGCCAGGGCCUGGUGCACGCAUAAUUUACAUAGAUGGUGCGUUUGAUCUUUUCCAUGCUGGCCAUGUUGAGGUAUAGUAAGUUAAAUUGUUGCAGACAAAAUAUUACUGAGCGACCCUCCGUUUUAAUUCACCAAUGUUGAUGAUACCUGUUCUUGAUUAUUCAAUACUUACAGAUUCUCAGGCGUGCUCGAGAGCUGGGAGACUUUCUUCUUGUUGGAAUACAUAAUGACCAGACUGUCAGGUUAGAAAAGGCUCAUCUUUAGCAGAUUGAUUGAUAGUGAUUGUCUCAGUUUUUGUUUCGUUUAUCUUUGUCUUUUCCUUUCCUGGCAAUUGUGAUGGUGGCUAAUCAAAUUUAAUUGGUAAUAUGAGUGUUGACCAAAAAAAUGGUGAUGUUAGUUUUAGGCAUAAAUAAAUACUUCUUGUCCCCAUUCUGGUUUAGAUUUGCAUAAUUGCAUCUCUGCUUAAAUUCGUUGGACCAGACCAAACUGUGCUUGUUAUACGUUGAUGUGCAGUGGUAAAAGAGGAGCGCAACACCCAAUCAUGAAUCUCCAUGAAAGAAGCUUAAGUGUUCUGGCAUGCCGCUAUGUAGAUGAGGUGAUAAUUGGUGCUCCAUGGGAAGUGUCAAAAGAUACGGUGAGAUUCUCUGCUCUUUACUUAACAACGCCCAAAUGGCUUUCGUGAAAAGCUAAUUUUGACAAUGAUUUGGAUAUUGCAGAUCACGACGUUUGACAUUUGGAAAGUGGUUCAUGGGACAGUAGCCGAGAGCGAUGAUUUUCAAAAGGUAAAACGAGAUUUAUACAAGGUAGAAUACAAAGAGCUGGAUUUGCUCAAGAUUCUUGUUGAAUGAUUUGACAGGAGGAAGGUAACCCGUAUGCUGUACCAAAAAGCAUGGGCAUAUUCGAAGUACUAGAAAGCCCUCUUGAUAUCUCAACCUCCACCAUAAUCAAGAGGAUUGUAGCAAACCAUGAAGCUUAUCAGGCAAGUUUAUCUUCUUCUUCUUCUUUUUUUUAUCGUUCCUCUUGUUGCUUCACUCUGGCCAAUGUCUCAGUCAAUGUCUUUGUGUGUGAAUACAGAAACGUAAUUUGAAAAAGGAAGCUAGUGAGAAGAAGUACUAUGAGCAGAAGUCUUUUGUGACCGGUGACUAAAUAGAAUGAGAAGCUAUAUAUUUUAGAAGACAAAAACCAUCUUCAGGAUGUGAAUCCCUUAUUUCUUUGUACUGGCUAUAGUACCUUACAUAUUACAUUUUGAAUUCUCUAGUUCAUACUUUACAUAGGGCAUUGAUGGUUGUAGUACCAUUUGCUUCUUUGUAUUUUCUUCAAUUUUGGGAUGUUUCAUUAUAUUUUUUUGACUUUCGCUCAAUCAAAUUACAAUGAUUAUGAACUUGAAUUUUAUUAGCUUACAGGCACAUAAUCAUACAAGCAUCAAUGAGUUAGAGCACUUUGGUUUUGUUAAAGAGUCUCUCAAUAGCAAACCACACAGUAAUUCUAGUUAAAAAUAUUGUUUCAAUAAGACAACUGAAGAAAGAGUCUUGCAAUUAACAUUGCUCCUCAGUCUCAGGCAUUGCAGUUAACUUUCUUCUGUUGGAAAUAACUGAGAAGCAAUCUCCAGAGCUCCCCACAUAGGCGCAUCAUUCUUUUUAGACCCACAAAGAAACAACAAAAUCUCUGUUUUAGCAAAAAAAAAAUCAGGCGAUUCAGAUAAAUCCAUAAUGUUCAAACAUAGAAUGUGUAUGUGACUUACAAGAUAAACGAUAUCAAAGGCCUUACGGUAGCUUUCAAGACUCUUCUCAACGUUAUCAUUCCUGAAAACAAACAAAAAGCUGUGAGAGGAGAUAAAAGAACGGAGCAAAAAAAAUAUACAAAAGAAAACACUCACAGGAAUCCAAUAGAUAUUCGAGUGUCGUAAUUCAAACCAUCAGACAUCCUCAGAUCCCCCAUAUGGUCUCCUAGAAGCAAAACGUUUGUUCUUUGUUUCACGUACGCAUUCUCUUCUCCUUCCCCACCAUUGUCAACACCGAGGUUGUUUACAAGAUGGGGAGUCACAUAACGCAUGUGAGAGACGACGUUAGUUGGCCAAUUAUACAGAAAAUAAACUAAUUGUAACUUCUUUAGUUUUUGCAAGUUCAUUUACCAGCAACAAUACCAGUGGAAGUAUGGCGCGUUUCAUAUGCCACUGAUUCUUUUUUCUUUCCACUGGAAUAAAAAUAAAGAAGUUACAAUUAGUUUAUUUCCUGUAUAAAAAUGAAAUACUAAAGCAUGCAUAUGUAAGCAAUAAAAAUAAUUAAAGACAUAAUUGUGCAAAUAGUGAAAAGGAAGCGGUGGUUGGAAUCCUAAAAGAAGCAAUAUCAUGGAAAGAGUACAAGGACCAUAGAAAGUUAGAAACUAAACUAAAAAUUGUCGAUUAGAAUUUGAAAUAAAAAAUUAGCAAAAUAAAGUGAAGAAACAUUCAUUCAUCAUCAAAGCGUUACAGAAAAAAUCUUAACUAACUCGGUUCCCGCAAGGACUGAAAGCACACCAUCAUACCACUCAAGUUUCCCCCAACAGUCUCCUUUGUCUUUUUUAAGCGCUAUCACGGCACAAUAUAUGGUCUCCAUGUGAGACACAAGAAUAUUAGAUUUUCUACUCCAGAAAACCAGCAUCUUUCCAACACCAUAAGCCGUUAAUUUAACAUAAGAACCAUAACCAGAAAAACGACGAGGCAACUUAGGUAGUCCUACCAAACCCUUCAAAUCUCUCCACCUUGUCUUGUCGGUGUCAUACCAUCUCAGAGCUCCUUCUUUAGAAACAGAGUAGAGAACAUUAUCAAUCUCGCAGUAAGAUUCCGAAUACUUAAUUUCACCCACACUUGGAUCUAUUUCAACCAGCUGGUCCCAUUUACCUUGCUUUGAAUUGAAAGCAAACACCCAACCAAAUAUAUUAACCGCGUGGAGAUUUCCGUUAAAAUUAAAAAGGUGACUGGCUUGGUCCAAUACACAACAAGGGAUAUCCCAAGUUUGCGUAUUUGUGUUGAAUACCUGGAGCAAGCUCUUCCAGGAAGCAUAUUGAUGGUAGCGUCGUCCUAGUACAAAUAUAUUUCGAUCAAGGACAAUGGCAGAAAGUGACCCUAGCUCCAUUGGCAUGCUGGGAGCCUUACGCCACAUGUGAGACUUGCAAUCAAGAAUCGAGACACUAGAGGUGGGCGUGGUUUUAUCUGCUUGGCCAAUGUUGUAGAUAUCAGAACCAACAGCCACAAGAUCUGAAUAACCAAAACCCAAACCCGCCACACGAGGAGAAUCAUCACCGGGCAUUGGGACGCUAGCCAAAACAUAGCCGCCACUACUCUUACUCUUGGAGGAGAGGGUGUACCACUUAUAAGAACCCAUCCCGAACCUCAAGCACACAUAGAGACAACUCUCCGUGAGGCCCAAGACUGACCUGACCUUGUAAAGCUCAGGUGAAACCACCAUAGAUCGAAAGCUCUUGGAGACUAGUGACAGAGUCCGAUAGUACAAUAUUGGAACGCGUGCCACGAUCAUCACUAGCAAAUCGUCCGGAAGUGACAAAGAUGCCAAUAUCACAUCAUCGGAUGUGUAUGGAGUUGCCUUCUUCUUCUUCUUCUUCGCCCUAGUACUCGUAGUCGUUGUCUUCCUCUUCAAUACGAACUCUCCCUUGUUCAACCUCUCCAUCUCUUAGGUAAGGUAACAAGAAAUUGUAAUGAAACCGAUAGAUAGUACUCUUCUAAGUGCUAUAAAGCUCUGGUUGCAAUUGCAAAUAUAAUUCAAUCAUAAAGUGGUUUUUUACAAAGACCUAAGGUGUCUCUAUAUAUACUAAGCGACUAAAAGAUCCUAAUUCUAAUAUCUAAAGUAAUAAUCUCUAUAGGAUUUAUAAUUAUCUUUAUGAAAACAUAACUAUGAUAAAAGGAAAAUAGAAGCUACGCUGCAUUAAGGUGAAACAUACCUAUGAAAACCGUUUGGUUUUAUUUUGAAAACAUAACUAUGAUAAAAAAAAAAAAGGAAAAUAGAAGCUACGCUGCAUUAAGGUGAAACAUAACUACACUCUUUUCCAUCUAGUUACGCUCUUUUCCAUGUAGUAACGGUUUUUAUCAGUUUUAGAAGUUGAAACCAAAUAAUGGAGCAAUUAAUGCAAAAUCUAUAAAAAAAUAAAAAUACAUAACCUCAAAAAUAAAAUAAUAGACAAAUAUUUAAUAUAAAAUCAUAUAAGUUACUUAAGUGAUUUUUGAUUAGGUGUUAUUGUGAAUUUUAGAAUUAAUUUUCUUAAUUUUAUUGGUUGUUGGUAUUUGAAUUUUCAUUUAUUUAAUUAAAAUUUUAAAAAUAAUAUUAAUUCUAGAACUAUCUAAUCUACAUUACCGUACAAACAAUUAAAAAAGAUAUAAGAAUUACCCAAACCAUAUCCAAUUUCAAUUCGGUUAAGGCGGUUCCAGCUCCAGAGAAAAGAAAAAAGAAUAAAACACGAUUCCGAAUCCAAAUCUCCAUUUUCAAAGAGAGAGAAGAAGAAACAUCUCCAUUCUCCGAGAGAGAGAGAGAGAGAGAUCUGAGUCGUCUCCCAAUGCGAAGGAAACAAACGAUCUAGAAUCCGAGAGUGUAGUUAGAACAACAAAAAUGGCGUGGCAAAAGGAGAAGAUCGUCGGAAGCUGCUUCGCCGUCGGAGCCGCCUUCGCCGUCGGAGCUUCCUUCCUCCACCUCUUCCUCAAAGGCGAGCUCCCCUUAGGCUUAGGCCUAGGUCUACCCUUCGCUCCCUUCAGGAAACGAAAGCCAGUCCGCGUCUACAUGGACGGAUGCUUCGACAUGAUGCACUACGGCCACUGCAACGCGCUCCGGCAGGCGCG
rnacentral:lncRNA from 1 species